UCCCCACUCUCAUAAAUAAGCACUCGCUCAUCUUAACCCCGCCACACUCUCCUCCUCUCUCACACAAUAAGAAAGAAGCCAAUACGACACAGGCAUAACGGUCUCUCCGCCUUCAAAGCCAAACCAAAAAAUAAAAACCCUUCAUUUCUUCACUCUCUCUUCUCUGCAACUCCCAAGCUAAAACCCUAACCAGUCACCACUAUGCAUUGCAUUGCUGCAAACAUUCCUCACAGCUAACUCUGCAAAACGACACCGUCAUCACAAUUUCGGGAAAUUUUUUGUUCUUCUUUUUCUAUUAUAUUCCGUGGUAGCAGUAGAGAAUGAAGAUUUUGAAACUGAUAGAGAGGCGGUGUUUGGCUCCGCUCAAGCGAGACGACGUCGUUCGUGAGAGUGAUGCGCGGACCUUCACCAACCACCACUCGUACAAGAAACUCCCUCAGCUUCCGCUCCUCAAGCUCUCCGUUCUCAAGCUCGAUGGCUCUGUUUUCGAAAUUCAUGUUGGGAGGACUGCUA